CCUGGAUGUUGCUGGCAAGGGAGUUGAUGAUUUCCACCUGCUCAUCAUUCUGUGGAAUCACGCGAAACACUUUAUGCCUGGAAGGGGAGAAAAGGGUUGAAUUUGAAAGAGACAUUAUUUAACAUGUGAACAGGUAGUGGAUAAGGAGAGGAAAGAAGAUCUGGGGUAUGGAGCAAAAAUAAAGUGGCUCUCAUGACUUCAGGAUGUGUUUCCACUUCUGCAAUUGACUCAUCAGCUUCCAGCUACAAAAUCAGAUGUGCCAGGAAGGAGUGAAGACGUGGAGGGAGAGAGAGAGAGACUGUGCUUUGAUCCACUGCCUCAUGAAACAUCACAGCUACCUGAAAUCCUUACAUUUUCUGUGAAUUAUUUAAAACAUUUUCUGAAAGAAAAAAAAAAAGGAAGAUAUAUUUUGAUGUGGAAAUGUUGCUGUAGUGCUUCAUGGAAAUGGUAGAAAAGGUAUCUCGAGGCCCUGUGCUGUAUUCUGCACUCAGUGUGUCAAAUUCAUGAUGUUCUGUGACUAGGGGCUCCAGCCAGGCAGUGCAGCAGCUAAGCUGCUGGUUUGGUGCAAAUGUCAGAAGAUCUGGUCCAAGUGCCUGGCCAGAAGAAAACAAAUAAUACAAAUAUGGAACAGAAAAAUCUAUUUUAUAGAUAUAAAAUUAUGUUUCCUUCUGUUAAACCCCAUAAUACUCCUACCUUGUGAUGUUUCACAGCAAAAGAUGAAUUUCCUUCCCUGCUGUGGUCAGCUGGUUUUUAGUACUACACAGCAGAAUGCUUGCAGAAGGGUUGGGGAAUUUUCUUUUGCAUCCAAAGAUUUUCCUACCUAAGUAAAGCUGCCUCUUGGUUUGUUCAUUGUGUUGCUCACAUUUCACUUUGCUUUCUCACUGGAAGGCUUGCAAGAGAAUUGUGUGACAUCUAGAAUUUUGCUUGUUUCAUUCAUGGUUCUUAAUCAAAUAUUAUACUUCUAUUAUGCUGCCUUUUUCCAUUCUAGUUUUUUGUAUUGGGUAAAUUGCUGGAACUUCUCACAUUUGAAGAAACUGGUUGUGGUUAUUCACUCCAGGAAAAUAAGAGUAGGUCAUGAUGUUCAGUGCCUGCCCCUCACUGAAUAACAAGCUUCUGGAGCUUGAAAUGAGAGGUUAUGUCAGGGCUAAAUAUUG